rnacentral:rRNA from 1 species
GAGUUUGAUCCUGGCUCAGAUUGAACGCUGGCGGCAUGCCUUACACAUGCAAGUCGAACGGCAGCAUGAUCUAGCUUGCUAGAUUGAUGGCGAGUGGCGAACGGGUGAGUAAUACAUCGGAACGUGCCCUGUAGUGGGGGAUAACUAGUCGAAAGAUUAGCUAAUACCGCAUACGACCUGAGGGUGAAAGUGGGGGACCGCAAGGCCUCAUGCUAUAGGAGCGGCCGAUGUCUGAUUAGCUAGUUGGUGGGGUAAAGGCCCACCAAGGCGACGAUCAGUAGCUGGUCUGAGAGGACGAUCAGCCACACUGGGACUGAGACACGGCCCAGACUCCUACGGGAGGCAGCAGUGGGAAUUUUGGACAAUGGGCGAAAGCCUGAUCCAGCAAUGCCGCGUGUGUGAAGAAGGCC